ACAGAACUCAGUUUCAGACGUGCAUGAUGCUUUGCUUUAAGAAAGACCUACAUUAUUCAUUGGAAAAUCUCUGGUAGUCUAGUCUUCCCCCCGCAGUAGACACCUCUCCAAUUUCUGGUGGUAGCCAAAAAAAACCUGGUAAUGCCAAAAAGUUAUUGACAGUUUGCGUGUUGCCUAGAUGAAAACCCAAAUUUAGUCCAUUUAGACUCAACCUAUUGUUGUUGAGAAAGUAAGCUCGUCAGUCACUGUCAUCAUCUCUUUGCUGAUUCCAUCUUCUGGAUAUAGCCUAGAUCAGUAUUACCAUAUAUCAGCGUUUUCCUCAAAUGUGAAUAAGAAUGAGAAGCUUCUAUCAAGGCAUAUAUUGGUGAGCUGAAGUCUUGAGUCCAAAGAUUCAACUUUUUGCUCUCAUCUAUUUUGUGGAAAAAAGAAAUUAUGCUGCCACUGGAGGUUUCGGUGGUCAUCAUUUGAUAGAGCUCAAGUGAGUCUAAGCCGGAAGCCUACUAUGACUAAGAUUAAUUGAUUUGAGGUCAAUUCCUGGUCGCUGUUCCAUGGUUCUGAUCGAUUGGUGAAACUGCCGUGAGAUUGCUGAAUUUCAAGACUUCCAAGUUCAAAAUUCAAAUUAUGUGAAAGAAGUUAAAGUUACAACAAGUGCAUAUCUGGGCUCCCUUCUUUUCUGUGGCCCCGUUUCCCUAACUAUAACCACUAACCAACGCCCGCCGGUGGUCACUCGCCCGCUGUGAAACAAGGAGGAGGGGAGGGCUCUGGUCG